UGGGGAAUAUUGGACAAUGGGCGCAAGCCUGAUCCAGCCAUGCCGCGUGAGUGAUGAAGGCCCUAGGGUUGUAAAGCUCUUUCACCGGUGAAGAUAAUGACGGUAACCGGAGAAGAAGCCCCGGCUAACUUCGUGCCAGCAGCCGCGGUAAUACGAAGGGGGCUAGCGUUGUUCGGAUUUACUGGGCGUAAAGCGCACGUAGGCGGACGUUUAAGUCAGGGGUGAAAUCCCGGGGCUCAACCCCGGAACUGCCUUUGAUACUGGAAGUCUUGAGUAUGGUAGAGGUGAGUGGAAUUCCGAGUGUAGAGGAGAAAUUCGUAGAUAUUCGGAGGAACACCAGUGGCGAAGGCGGCUCACUGGACCAUUACUGACGCUGAGGUGCGAAAGCAUGGGGAGCAAACAGG
rnacentral:rRNA from 1 species